rnacentral:rRNA from 1 species
UAUUCUUCCGGGAGGCAGCAGUGGGGAUUAUUGGCCAAUGGGGGAAAGCUUGUUCCAGCCAAUCGCGCGUGUGUGAAGACGUCUCUUCGGGUUGUAAAGCACUUUAAGUUGGGAAGAGAGGGCUUCGAUUAAUACUUGAAGUCUUGACGGUACCGACAGAAUAAGCACCGGCUAACUCUGUGCCAGCAGCCGCGGUAAUAC